rnacentral:rRNA from 1 species
UUGAACGCUGGCGGCAGGCCUAACACAUGCAAGUCGAACGGUAACAGGAAGCAGCUUGCUGCUUUGCUGACGAGUGGCGGACGGGUGAGUAAUGUCUGGGAAACUGCCUGAUGGAGGGGGAUAACUACUGGAAACGGUAGCUAAUACCGCAUAACGUCGCAAGACCAAAGAGGGGGACCUUCGGGCCUCUUGCCAUCGGAUGUGCCCAGAUGGGAUUAGCUAGUAGGUGGGGUAACGGCUCACCUAGGCGACGAUCCCUAGCUGGUCUGAGAGGAUGACCAGCCACACUGGAACUGAGACACGGUCCAGACUCCUACGGGAGGCAGCAGUGGGGAAUAUUGCACAAUGGGCGCAAGCCUGAUGCAGCCAUGCCGCGUGUAUGAAGAAGGCCUUCGGGUUGUAAAGUACUUUCAGCGGGGAGGAAGGGAGUAAAGUUAAUACCUUUGCUCAUUGACGUUACCCGCAGAAGAAGCACCGGCUAACUCCGUG